UGCGGGGUAGAGAAGCAGCCAUCUCGGGUGGUUCAUACCCACCAGAUCGCCGGUGCAAGUCCGGCCCCCGCAACCA
rnacentral:tRNA from 1 species